rnacentral:rRNA from 1 species
CCCGUACACAAAAAUGCACAUGCUGUGAGCUCGAUGAGUAGGGCGGGACACGUGGUAUCCUGUCUGAAUAUGGGGGGACCAUCCUCCAAGGCUAAAUACUCCUGACUGACCGAUAGUGAACCAGUACCGUGAGGGAAAGGCGAAAAGAACCCCGGCGAGGGGAGUGAAAAAGAACCUGAAACCGUGUACGUACAAGCAGUGGGAGCACAGAGCAAUCUGUGUGACUGCGUACCUUUUGUAUAAUGGGUCAGCGACUUAUAUUCUGUAGCAAGGUUAACCGAAUAGGGGAGCCGAAGGGAAACCGAGUCUUAACUGGGCGUUAAGUUGCAGGGUAUAGACCCGAAACCCGGUGAUCUAGCCAUGGGCAGGUUGAAGGUUGGGUAACACUAACUGGAGGACCGAACCGACUAAUGUUGAAAAAUUAGCGGAUGACUUGUGGCUGGGGGUGAAAGGCCAAUCAAACCGGGAGAUAGCUGGUUCUCCCCGAAAGCUAUUUAGGUAGCGCCUCGUGAAUUCAUCUCCGGGGGUAGAGCACUGUUUCGGCAAGGGGGUCAUCCCGACUUACCAACCCGAUGCAAACUGCGAAUACCGGAGAAUGUUAUCACGGGAGACACACGGCGGGUGCUAACGUCCGUCGUGAAGAGGGAAACAACCCAGACCGCCAGCUAAGGUCCCAAAGUCAUGGUUAAGUGGGAAACGAUGUGGGAAGGCCCAGACAGCCAGGAUGUUGGCUUAGAAGCAGCCAUCAUUUAAAGAAAGCGUAAUAGCUCACUGGUCGAGUCGGCCUGCGCGGAAGAUGUAACGGGGCUAAACCAUGCACCGAAGCUGCGGCAGCGACACUAUGUGUUGUUGGGUAGGGGAGCGUUCUGUAAGCCUGUGAAGGUGUGCUGUGAGGCAUGCUGGAGGUAUCAGAAGUGCGAAUGCUGACAUAAGUAACGAUAAAGCGGGUGAAAAGCCCGCUCGCCGGAAGACCAAGGGUUCCUGUCCAACGUUAAUCGGGGCAGGGUGAGUCGACCCCUAAGGCGAGGCCGAAAGGCGUAGUCGAUGGGAAACAGGUUAAUAUUCCUGUACUUGGUGUUACUGCGAAGGGGGGACGGAGAAGGCUAUGUUGGCCGGGCGACGGUUGUCCCGGUUUAAGCGUGUAGGCUGGUUUUCCAGGCAAAUCCGGAAAAUCAAGGCUGAGGCGUGAUGACGAGGCACUACGGUGCUGAAGCAACAAAUGCCCUGCUUCCAGGAAAAGCCUCUAAGCAUCAGGUAACAUCAAAUCGUACCCCAAACCGACACAGGUGGUCAGGUAGAGAAUACCAAGGCGCUUGAGAGAACUCGGGUGAAGGAACUAGGCAAAAUGGUGCCGUAACUUCGGGAGAAGGCACGCUGAUAUGUAGGUGAAGUCCCUCGCGGAUGGAGCUGAAAUCAGUCGAAGAUACCAGCUGGCUGCAACUGUUUAUUAAAAACACAGCACUGUGCAAACACGAAAGUGGACGUAUACGGUGUGACGCCUGCCCGGUGC